AGAGUUUGAUCAUGGCUCAGAUUGAACGCUGGCGGCAGGCCUAACACAUGCAAGUCGAGCGGUAGCACAGAGAGCUUGCUCUCGGGUGACGAGCGGCGGACGGGUGAGUAAUGUCUGGGAAACUGCCUGAUGGAGGGGGAUAACUACUGGAAACGGUAGCUAAUACCGCAUAACGUCGCAAGACCAAAGUGGGGGACCUUCGGGCCUCAUGCCAUCAGAUGUGCCCAGAUGGGAUUAGCUGGUAGGUGGGGUAACGGCUCACCUAGGCGACGAUCCCUAGCUGGUCUGAGAGGAUGACCAGCCACACUGGAACUGAGACACGGUCCAGACUCCUACGGGAGGCAGCAGUGGGGAAUAUUGCACAAUGGGCGCAAGCCUGAUGCAGCCAUGCCGCGUGUGUGAAGAAGGCCUUCGGGUUGUAAAGCACUUUCAGCGGGGAGGAAGGCGGUGAGGUUAAUAACCUCAUCGAUUGACGUUACCCGCAGAAGAAGCACCGGCUAACUCCGUGCCAGCAGCCGCGGUAAUACGGAGGGUGCAAGCGUUAAUCGGAAUUACUGGGCGUAAAGCGCACGCAGGCGGUCUGUCAAGUCGGAUGUGAAAUCCCCGGGCUCAACCUGGGAACUGCAUUCGAAACUGGCAGGCUAGAGUCUUGUAGAGGGGGGUAGAAUUCCAGGUGUAGCGGUGAAAUGCGUAGAGAUCUGGAGGAAUACCGGUGGCGAAGGCGGCCCCCUGGACAAAGACUGACGCUCAGGUGCGAAAGCGUGGGGAGCAAACAGGAUUAGAUACCCUGGUAGUCCACGCUGUAAACGAUGUCGAUUUGGAGGUUGUGCCCUUGAGGCGUGGCUUCCGGAGCUAACGCGUUAAAUCGACCGCCUGGGGAGUACGGCCGCAAGGUUAAAACUCAAAUGAAUUGACGGGGGCCCGCACAAGCGGUGGAGCAUGUGGUUUAAUUCGAUGCAACGCGAAGAACCUUACCUGGUCUUGACAUCCACAGAACUUAGCAGAGAUGCUUUGGUGCCUUCGGGAACUGUGAGACAGGUGCUGCAUGGCUGUCGUCAGCUCGUGUUGUGAAAUGUUGGGUUAAGUCCCGCAACGAGCGCAACCCUUAUCCUUUGUUGCCAGCGGUUAGGCCGGGAACUCAAAGGAGACUGCCAGUGAUAAACUGGAGGAAGGUGGGGAUGACGUCAAGUCAUCAUGGCCCUUACGACCAGGGCUACACACGUGCUACAAUGGCAUAUACAAAGAGAAGCGACCUCGCGAGAGCAAGCGGACCUCAUAAAGUAUGUCGUAGUCCGGAUUGGAGUCUGCAACUCGACUCCAUGAAGUCGGAAUCGCUAGUAAUCGUAGAUCAGAAUGCUACGGUGAAUACGUUCCCGGGCCUUGUACACACCGCCCGUCACACCAUGGGAGUGGGUUGCAAAAGAAGUAGGUAGCUUAACCUUCGGGAGGGCGCUUACCACUUUGUGAUUCAUGACUGGGGUGAAGUCGUAACAAGGUAACCGUAGGGGAACCUGCGGUUG
rnacentral:rRNA from 1 species